AUUGAACGCUGGCGGCAUGCUUUACACAUGCAAGUCGGACGAGUGGCGAACGGGUGAGUAAUAUAUCGGAACGUACCGAGUAAUGGGGGAUAACUAAUCGAAAGAUUAGCUAAUACCGCAUAUUAUUCGAGCGGCCGAUAUCUGAUUAGCUAGUUGGUGGGGUAACGGCCUACCAAGGCGACGAUCAGUAGAGGGUCUGAGAGGAUGAUCCGCCACACUGUGGCUGAGACACGUCCCAGUAUCCUCAGGGAGGCAGCAGGGGGAAAUUGUGGACAAUGGGCGCAAUCCUGAGCCAGCCAUGCCGCGUGUCUGAAGAAGGCCUUCGGGUUGUAAAGGACUUUUUUCAGGGAAGCGGUACCUGAAGAAUAAGCACCGGCUAACUACGUGCCAGCAGCAGCGGUAAUUC
rnacentral:rRNA from 1 species